CCUACGGGGGGCUGCAGUGGGGAAUUUUGCGCAAUGGGCGAAAGCCUGACGCAGCAACGCCGCGUGGGUGAUGAAGGUCUUCGGAUCGUAAAACCCUGUCGUUGGGGACGAAGGUGGGGGCGUUAAUAGCGUUUCUGCUUGACGGUACCCGGAGAGGAAGCCCCGGCUAACUCUGUGCCAGCAGCCGCGGUAAUACAGAGCGGGCAAGCGUUAUGCGGAGUUCGCGUGGGCGGAUUGUUAAGAGAGAUGUGUAAUCCCCGAGCUCAACUUGGGAACUGCAGCUGAGACUGGAAGGCUAGAGUACUGGAGAGGGUGGUGGAAUUCCUCGUGUAGCGGUGAAAUGCGUAGAGAUGAGGAGGAACACCAGUGGCGAAGGCGGCCACCUGGACAGUAACUGACGCUGAGGCGCGAAAGUGUGGGUAGCAAACAGGAUUAGAUACCCCUGUAGUC
rnacentral:rRNA from 1 species